GACGAACGCUGGCGGCGUGCUUAACACAUGCAAGUCGAACGAAGUGACGAACGGGUGAGUAAUACGUGAGUAACCUGCCCUCCUGUUUGGGAUAAGCCUUGGAAACGUGGUCUAAUACCGAAUAAAGGGGGAUGGGCGCGCGGCCUAUCAGCUGGUUGGUGGGGUGAUGGCCUCCAAAGGCGGUGACGGGUAGCAGGCGUGAGAGGGUGACCGGCCAGAUUGGGACUGGGAUACGGCCCAGACUGCGACGGGAGUCAGAAGUGGGGGCGAUGGCACUAUGGUCGAAAGCCUGAUGGAGCCGCGCAGCGUGGGGGCUUAAGGCUUUCGGGUUGUAAUCCUCUUUCGCUAUCGAACGGGUAGGUAGAGAAGAAGCGCCGGCUAACUACGUGCCAGCAGCCGCGGUAAUUC
rnacentral:rRNA from 1 species